ensembl:lncRNA
CUCUCAGGAGAUUCUAAUGAAAGGUAGUUUCAGAAACAGUGCAGUGGGCAGCUCAAGUAUCUGUUUAGGGCAGUGAUUCUCAAACUUCAGGGCUUCAGAAUCACCUGAAAGGGCUUAUUAUAAUACAGAUUGCUAGGUUCUAGCAAUCAGAGGUUCUGAUUCAGUAAAUUAGGGGUGGGACCAGAGAAUUAGCAUUUCUGACAAGUUCUCGGAGGAUGGUGCUGCUGCUGGUUUAGGAUUACACUUUGGGAGCCACUGUCCUAGGACACCCGGAUAAAUGGACACCAAGAAAAAAAUGAGAGGGGUUGGGGGGAACCCAGAAAGAUUCAUAUUUCAAACAAAGCUUCUAAGUAACUCUCAUGGUACAAAUCAGAAACUUUGAGCUUCCUUACCUUUGCCAACAAAGGUCUAUCUAGUCAAGGCUUAUGAUUUUUCCAGUAGUCAUGUAUGGAUGUGAGAGUUGGACUAUAAAGGAAGCUGAGCACCAGAGAAUUGAUGCUUUUGAACUGUGGUGUUGGAGAAGACUCUUGAGAGUCCCUUGGACUGCAAGGAGAUCCAACCAGUCCAUCCCAAAGGAAAUCAGUCCUGAAUAUUUAUUGGAAGGACUGAUGUUGAAGCUGAAACUCCAAUACUUUGGCCACCUCAUGCGAAGAGCUGACUCACUUGAAAAGACCCUGAUACUGGGAAAGAUUGAAGGCAGGAAGAGAAGGGGAUGACAGAGGAUGAGACAGUUGGAUGUCAUCACUGACUCAAUGGACAUGAGUUUGGGUGAUGGGUGAAUGUAUCUUGCGUGUUGAGCACUGUGACAGAGAACUUGACCCAUGGAGGGCAUACAAAUAAGAUUGCAAGAAGACCUGUCAGAGUUAUGGAAAUGAAAGAGCACAGGCUCUAGGACAUUUGGGCUUCAGUAGCUUGUAGGCUCUAGAGCACAGCCUGAGGCUUGUGACCCUCAGGCUUACUUGCCCUGCGGCAUGUGGGAUCCUCCCAGACCAAGGAUUGAGCUCAUGUCUCCUGCAUUGGCACGUGGAUUCCUUACCACUGAACCACCAGAUGUGCUGCUAUCUUGGAUUGGAAAUUGCAUUCCCUUCAUUUCUAUGUUCUCAUCUGGAAAACGCCUACUCAUCUUUCAAAACCUAGCUCAAAAGUCACCACCUUAAGAAGCCUCCCUUGGGCAAGCCAGUUGCUUCCUUCUGACAUUCCCUUAGCGGCUCUUUUACAUUUUUUUUUUUUUAAACACUGAACACGUUGGUUAUAAUUCUGUUUGCAUACAGAAUUCUGUUUUCUUCACUCAUCUAAAUUCCUGAGGCAUCUUUGUUUCCAUAGCAAUCAUCAGUAACGACACAUAGUAGGUAUUCAGUAAACUUAAAUGAAUAAAAGAGGAGGAAAGCCAAAGAAAACUUUUUAAAAAUCACACAUGUGGAUCAAACUUCCAACUACUAAUUUACAGAAAAUAGAGAGGAAAAUUUCUUUUCCUGCCACCCCAGGAAAUAUCAGCAGAAUCCUGAGAGAGGAAACUCAUUAGGACAAACAUCCUAGUUUCUUGGAAAAUAAAUUGCAAGGGGGAAAAAGAGAAUUGGAGGAGGACUGGUAAUUUGAGAGAGACUUAGAAGACCCGUCAAACAAUUGCAAAGCAUGGACUUGACUUGGAUUUUGAUUUUUAAAAAAUUUUAGAUUAUGACAUGUAUGAGACCUUGGAAAUUUGAACAUAGAACGUUUGAUGACUUUAAGGCCUUAUUGUUAAUCAUUUUAGAUGUGAUAAUUGUGUUAUGUUUACUUUGAAAAGAAAGCAAUCAUUAUUUUUAAGAGAUGAGUCCUGAAAUGUUUAUAAGUGAAAGUAUAUGUCUGGAAUUUGCUUCAAAAUAAUAUGGGAGGGAGGAAGUGGAUGAUAGUGUAAAUGAAGUAGGUUUGGCCAUGGGGUUGACGGUUGUUGGGGCUGAGUGAUAGGUGGGCACAGAAAGAAUCAUCCUCUAGAUAUUUUUAUGUAUAUCUGAAAUUGCUACUGCAAUGUUUAAAAGCAACAAAAAGUCUUUUAAAAGCUUGAAUGUUUUGCAUUUACACUUCGCAGUACAAUAAUUAUUUUAAAAAAUAAAUUUGUUUGGCUGCAAAGGGGUCAUAGUUGCAGCAUACAGGAUCUUCAAUCUUUGUUGUGGCAUGCAGGUUCUUUUAGUUGCAGCAUAUGGAAUCUAGUUCCCUGAGUAGGGAUUGAACGUGGGCCCCCUGCAUUGGGAGUGUGGAGUCUUAGCCAUGGGACCACCAGGGAAGUCUGUACAAUAGCUAUUUUAAACAAUAGAAUUGAAACGAUUACUCCUCACCUCAAUGUGAAAAAAAUUUUGUUUAAUGUAUGCAUGUAUGUUUUGUUACAUGUUUAUGCUAGAAUAUUUUCCAAAGGAACAUCUUUAUUAAAAAAAAUAGGUAAAGCCAAUUAG